CUUUUUUCUUCAGCCUGCCGCGGAUGCUGCUUGUUCGGAAUAAGAGACAAACUCGCCAGGUGCCUUUCAAAGUUCAAAUUACGGAGAGCUAAAGCUGUCGGUGCUAUGGCAAUAAUUGACAACUCUUUCAAGUCUUUCUGCCCAUGAAUUCAUUCCUUACUCUUAUGCCUUCUCUUCUCCAAUCUCCCAUUAAUUGGAUAACAAUAUUUAGGGCUGACUAAGGGCCAUUAAAUGAUUGCGGACCAUAUAGAGUUGCUUAGUGCUUAUAAUUUAGAAAUUGAGUAUUGCCAUGUGUCAAACAAUAAAUAGCCAAUCUGGGCUAUGUGUUGAAAAG
rnacentral:misc_RNA from 1 species